UACGUAGGUGGCGAACGUUGUCCGGAUUUACUGGGCGUAAAGCGCGCGCAGGCGGACCGAUAAGUCAGAGGUGAAAUCCCCCGGCUCAACCGGGGAACGGCUGGGUAUACUGGCGGUCUUGAGCCAUCCAGGGGCAGUCGGAACAGACGGUGGAGCGGUGAAAUGCGUAGAUAUCGUCUGGAACGCCGAAGGUGAAAACAGACUGCUGGGGAUGAGCUGACGCUGAGACACGAAAGCCAGGGGAGCGAACGGG
rnacentral:rRNA from 1 species